rnacentral:rRNA from 1 species
UACGUAGGGUGCAAGCGUUAAUCGGAAUUACUGGGCGUAAAGCGCUCGUAGGCGGUUUUGUAAGUCUGUCGUGAAAGCCCCGGGCUCAACCUGGGAAUUGCGAUGGAGACUGCAAGGCUUGAAUCUGGCAGAGGGGGGUAGAAUUCCACGUGUAGCAGUGAAAUGCGUAGAGAUGUGGAGGAACACCGAUGGCGAAGGCAGCCCCCUGGGUCAAGAUUGACGCUCAUGCACGAAAGCGUGGGGAGCAAACAGG